CUAAAUUUCACAAAUUGAGGCCCUAAUCAAGACAAUUACUCUUGCAUGUUGGUAGAUUCUUGAUCUUCUAGGUCCAUUAAAGCAUAAGGAAUUAAGGAGGAAAGCUCAAGCCGUUCCGAGUAUCAAACGAAGAACGAUAAAGGUAAAGCGACUUGUUAAAUGGCGUUACUUGGAUCGAACACAUUCAUGAUGCACGCUUCCGUGAAGAACCUAGUUAUAGUCAAAGAUUUUGUUAAAUGUUUUCCCUUUUGUUCUAAACGGGUCUUUUGUAAGUUUUAU